rnacentral:rRNA from 1 species
UAGACUGAACGCUGGCGGCGUGCUUAACACAUGCAAGUCGCGCGUGAAAGGACUUCGGUCCGAGUAAAGCGGCGCACGGGUGAGUAACGCGUGGAUGAUCUACCCAUGAGUUAGGAAUAACGGCUGGAAACGGUCGCUAAUACCGAAUACGCUCCGAUUUCAACUUCGGGGGAAAGGUGGCCUCUGCUUGCAAGCUACUGCUCAUGGAUGAGUCCGCGUCCCAUUAGCUAGUUGGUGGGGUAACGGCCCACCAAGGCGACGAUGGGUAGCCGGUCUGAGAGGAUGACCGGCCACACUGGGACUGGAACACGGCCCAGACUCCUACGGGAGGCAGCAGUGGGGAAUAUUGCGCAAUGGGCGAAAGCCUGACGCAGCGACGCCGCGUGAGGGAUGAAGGUCCUCGGAUCGUAAACCUCUGUCAGGAGGGAAGAACCGCCACGGUGCUAAUCAGCCGUGGUCUGACGGUACCUCCAAAGGAAGCACCGGCUAACUCCGUGCCAGCAGCCGCGGUAAUACGGAGGGUGCGAGCGUUAAUCGGAAUCACUGGGCGUAAAGCGCACGUAGGCUGCUUGGUAAGUCAGGGGUGAAAGCCCGCGGCUCAACCGCGGAAUUGCCUUUGAUACUGCCGAGCUAGAGUCCGGGAGAGGGUAGUGGAAUUCCAGGUGUAGGAGUGAAAUCCGUAGAGAUCUGGAGGAACAUCAGUGGCGAAGGCGACUACCUGGACCGGUACUGACGCUUGAGGGCG